rnacentral:rRNA from 1 species
GGAUUAAUUUACUGGUCGUGCUAUUGUACGUACUGGUUUUAUUGAUUCCUCCCUUCUGACGAACUAUGAUGUCAUUAAUUUGGUGUCAUAGGAAAUCAGGACUGUUACUUUGAAAAAAUUAGAGUGUUUAAAGCAGGCUCACGCUUGAAUACAUUAGCAUGGAAUAACGGAAUAGGACGU